rnacentral:rRNA from 1 species
GAAGGACCUUACCAAGGCUUGACAUAUACAGGAAUAUGGCAGAAAUGUCAUAGCCGCAAGGUCUGUAUACAGGUGGUGCAUGGUUGUCGUCAGCUCGUGUCGUGAGAUGUUGGGUUAAGUCCCGCAACGAGCGCAACCCUCGUUCUGUGUUGCCAGCAUUUAGUUGGGGACUCACAGGAGACUGCCGGGGUUAACUCGGAGGAAGGUGGGGAUGACGUCAAAUCAUCAUGCCCCUUAUGUCUUGGGCUGCACGCAUGCUACAAUGGCUGGUACAAACGGCUGCGAUACCGCAAGGUGGAGCGAAUCCGAUAAAGCCAGUCUCAGUUCGGAUUGGGGUCUGCAACUCGACCCCAUGAAGUCGGAGUUGCUAGUAAUCGUAGAUCAGCAACGCUACGGUGAAUACGUUCCCGGGGCUUGUACACACCGCCCGUCACGUCACGAAAGUCGGUAACACCCGAAGUCAGUGGCCCAACCGUAAGGGGG